rnacentral:rRNA from 1 species
CCUACGGGCGGCAGCAGUGAGGAAUAUUGGUCAAUGGUCGGGAGACUGAACCAGCCAAGCCGCGUGAGGGAUGAAGGUACAGAGUAUCGUAAACCUCUUUUGUCAGGGAACAAAGGCGGGGACGUGUCCCCUGAUGAGUGUACCUGAAGAAAAAGCAUCGGCUAACUCCGUGCCAGCAGCCGCGGUAAUACGGAGGAUGCGAGCGUUAUCCGGAUUUAUUGGGUUUAAAGGGUGCGCAGGCGGUCUGUUAAGUGAGCGGUCAAAGCACGGGGCUCAACCCCGGCCCGCCGUUGAAACUGGCAGUCUCGAGUUGGAGAGAAGUAUGCGGAAUGCGCGGUGUAGCGGUGAAAUGCAUAGAUAUCGCGCAGAACUCCGAUUGCGAAGGCAGCAUGCCGGCUCCACACUGACGCUGAGGCACGAAAGCGUGGGUAUCGAACAGGAUUAGAUACCCCAGUAGUC